GGUUAAGCGACUAAGCGUACACGGUGGAUGCCCUGGCAGUCAGAGGCGAUGAAGGACGUGCUAAUCUGCGAUAAGCGUCGGUAAGGUGAUAUGAACCGUUAUAACCGGCGAUUUCCGAAUGGGGAAACCCAGUGUGAUUCGUCACACUAUCAUUAACUGAAUCCAUAGGUUAAUGAGGCGAACCGGGGGAACUGAAACAUCUAAGUACCCCGAGGAAAAGAAAUCAACCGAGAUUCCCCCAGUAGCGGCGAGCGAACGGGGAGCAGCCCAGAGCCUGAAUCAGUGUGUGUGUUAGUGGAAGCGUCUGGAAAGGCGCGCGAUACAGGGUGACAGCCCCGUACACAAAAAUGCACAUGCUGUGAGCUCGAUGAGUAGGGCGGGACACGUGGUAUCCUGUCUGAAUAUGGGGGGACCAUCCUCCAAGGCUAAAUACUCCUGACUGACCGAUAGUGAACCAGUACCGUGAGGGAAAGGCGAAAAGAACCCCGGCGAGGGGAGUGAAAAAGAACCUGAAACCGUGUACGUACAAGCAGUGGGAGCACGCUUAGGCGUGUGACUGCGUACCUUUUGUAUAAUGGGUCAGCGACUUAUAUUCUGUAGCAAGGUUAACCGAAUAGGGGAGCCGAAGGGAAACCGAGUCUUAACUGGGCGUUAAGUUGCAGGGUAUAGACCCGAAACCCGGUGAUCUAGCCAUGGGCAGGUUGAAGGUUGGGUAACACUAACUGGAGGACCGAACCGACUAAUGUUGAAAAAUUAGCGGAUGACUUGUGGCUGGGGGUGAAAGGCCAAUCAAACCGGGAGAUAGCUGGUUCUCCCCGAAAGCUAUUUAGGUAGCGCCUCGUGAAUUCAUCUCCGGGGGUAGAGCACUGUUUCGGCAAGGGGGUCAUCCCGACUUACCAACCCGAUGCAAACUGCGAAUACCGGAGAAUGUUAUCACGGGAGACACACGGCGGGUGCUAACGUCCGUCGUGAAGAGGGAAACAACCCAGACCGCCAGCUAAGGUCCCAAAGUCAUGGUUAAGUGGGAAACGAUGUGGGAAGGCCCAGACAGCCAGGAUGUUGGCUUAGAAGCAGCCAUCAUUUAAAGAAAGCGUAAUAGCUCACUGGUCGAGUCGGCCUGCGCGGAAGAUGUAACGGGGCUAAACCAUGCACCGAAGCUGCGGCAGCGACACUGUGUGUUGUUGGGUAGGGGAGCGUUCUGUAAGCCUGCGAAGGUGUGCUGUGAGGCAUGCUGGAGGUAUCAGAAGUGCGAAUGCUGACAUAAGUAACGAUAAAGCGGGUGAAAAGCCCGCUCGCCGGAAGACCAAGGGUUCCUGUCCAACGUUAAUCGGGGCAGGGUGAGUCGACCCCUAAGGCGAGGCCGAAAGGCGUAGUCGAUGGGAAACAGGUUAAUAUUCCUGUACUUGGUGUUACUGCGAAGGGGGGACGGAGAAGGCUAUGUUGGCCGGGCGACGGUUGUCCCGGUUUAAGCGUGUAGGCUGGUU
rnacentral:rRNA from 1 species